rnacentral:lncRNA from 1 species
CGCGGGCAGUGGUCAGCUCCCUUUUCGCAGCCCAGCUCAUGACGUAACCCUUAUCUCUUUGUUUAUUCCUCUGAGAUUCUCAGUGUGGCAUUCACGAAACUUUCGCUUCUGCAGCUCUCUGGUUGGGAAUGUGCACGUGUGGAGACCCCGAGGAAGGAAGGGGCGCCUGGCAGCCACUCUGUCACCUGAGGUUGGCGCGGCACUGCCCACGGUGCUGCUCAGGCGGUUGGGGACGGGCAGACGCCUUUACCUCCGUCAGUUCAGAUCAAGGCGCCAAACCCCUCGUCCCCACCAGCCAGGCUGCAGAUGCGAAGGCAAACUUUUAAAUCCCGCAACCCCACACUGCCCGCGGUCUUCACCUUCCCCUGCACCCCACAACCCCAUGAGGGCUGGGCAUGGAACCUGGCCUGCGUGGGCAGCAGGACAUGGCACAGGCGGCUCCUUCACUCAGUAAUCUUAAAAGAAAAGGACGGUGUCGUGAGUUUUCCCCAAACUGACUCUGAGCUGUCAAGACCCAGUCAUCACCCCUCUGCCUGCCCUGCCCGAGGCGCGCUCCUGCGGGGAAGGUGAGAGAGAAGCUCUCCAGCAGCUCCGCUCAGAGUGUAGAAGUCCAAGGUAAGGAAGCAGAGAGUUUAAGUCGAGUUUAGUUUCGUUAGCUUAGUUUCCGCUUACUGACUUCACAGCAUUCAAAACUGCUGGAAUUCACCGAGCCGUUUCCACACAGAGGAAGCCUGGAAGGCAGAACACGUGUGUGCAAGGGAGCCUGAGCCCCAGGGUCUGAAAAUGAACCCUAAGGGAUUUAUGUAAAUCGGAGCUAAGCAGCUCGAAGGCUUGAAGGAGGGGACCACGUUAGUGAUUUCUUUUUGCUUUAUAAGUCGUGACAGCGUCUUUCUUUUCUCAAAGUCAGCGAACUGUGAUUUCAGUACCGUGAAUUGACUUUUACUUCCAGCCCCAACAAAUGGACAGCCCCCGGGUUCCUCCUCCCACUGGAAACUACUAAGAGCAGGACCAAAGACACUGACAGCAGUGCCCAGGUGACUGGGGAGUGGGUGACCCCCAAGAAGGAAGAAAAGGACGUGGCCCUUAGCCCACUUGUCCUCCUCCCUGGGCAGUUCCAUGCUGCCACUCAAGGAGGAGGAACCAGAGUGGGGCAUCUGGAGCCCAGGGGUAUGCAUGCUUGUAAACCCAGCAUUCUGGUAGGCUGAAGCAGGAGGAUCCCAAGUUCAAGACCAGCCUGGGAAACUUAGCGGCUUAGCAAGACCCUGACUCAAAUUUUAAAAAUAAAAAAGGGCUGGGGAUGCAGCUCAAGUGAAGGCCCGGGGUUCAAUUUUCCAUACUUAGAGAGAGAGGUGGGGAGAGAGAGAGAGAGAGAGAGAGAGAGAGAAAGAUACCCAGAGCUCACACCAGCAAGGCAGAGCUUGGGCCACCAUGGGCACUGUGCUAGACUAAAUGUGGCUGUGCUGGUCCCAUUUCGCCAAGCUUAACGCCAAGGCCUAAAAUGAUCAGACUGUUUGCAAACAACUGCAUUCUGGAACAAAGCUCUGAAUAUUUGUAGAAAAACAAAAUUCAUAAUAGCAGAUAGCUAACCAAAAACUACCAGACGUGCAAAAUGCAGAAAAGGGGACCCAUUAAUGAGGAGGAAAAAAAUCAAUCAUAUUGGCCCAGAAGCAGCAUGGGUGACAGCACCUGAGACCUGCCCCGUGAUGCCUUAUCAUGGCUUGUUCCAUGUCGGGUUCUGUGCACGGCUCUCAGUUCAGGGAUGCCCAGAGCUGUCUGGAGACGCUGUGGGCUGUCACCUGGGGCUUGCAGAGGGAGCACGACAGGUAUCCAGUUGAAUAUUCAAGGCUAAAAAUAAUACAUGAGAUGAAGCCAAGAACAGAGUGGUCUUGCUGAAGAAAAAGCGAGGCUGAAUACACAGCAAUAGAAAAUACUUGAAAUGAAAUGAAAUCUAAGAAGAAAUGAACAGUGCAUCAGUGAGCUGUGGAUCACUUCAGGAAGGCCAGUGAGUGUGUAACCUAUCAAAGAAAGAGGAGAACCAUGAGACAGACAAACAAAAAUAUCAAUGGCCUAAACUGUCCCAAUUUCAUUAAAACUGAAACUCCUAAAUCCAAAAAGAAAGCCCAGCGAACCCCAAACAUAAGAAACAUGAAGAAAAUUUCAUCAAGACACUUCAGAAUAAAAUUACCUAAAACCAAUUGCAGAGUACAUUUUUAACAAGACCACAGGGAAAGAGACAAAUUAUUUACAGCAAAGUACCCCCCAAACCCAGGAAGCUUCUCAAGAGAAAGAGCACAUGCCAGAAGGGAGUGAAGCCAAAGGUUUAAAUGACUGAAAGAAAAAAUUGUCAACUGAGAAUUUUAUACCCAGCAAAAAUAUCUUUUAGGAACAAAGGUUCAUUUAAUACUUUUUUUUAGGUACACAAAAGCUGAAGAAUCCUUCAUAUUACAAUUUUCUUUCAUGCAGAAAGAAACUGACACCAGGUGGAAAUCUGUUUCUACAAAAGGAAUGAAGAGUGCCAGGGAUGCUGAUUACUUCUGCAAAUACGAGGGAUUUUAUUCUCUUUAUUUCUAUUCUCAUUCACCAAGGUGAAUCUAUAAUGGAGAUUUCUCUAGAAGGCUUUCAAGAAUAGUGAUACCAUGAAAUCUGCCAUAGAAAGAUAGGAGGAAAGGACAGAGUAGCUGUCUCAGAGAUAUGGCCCUGAACACCUGAAUCUAACAAUAAUAUCUCUAUGCUACACAGUCAGAAAACUUGUACUGUACAUUUAUUCUAAUGACUAAGUUGGGUAAACCAAGAAAAUAUACAGACAUCACUCAUCAUAGAAAAUCUGCUUGAAAAGGUACUACUUUUCCAAUCCUUUUUCUAGCCACCUAUCUAUACUCACCCUUUGUUUAGCCAUAUGAAACCACUUCCCCCAGGCUGGAAGUAGGCUUCUUAUUUUAGUCCAUGUCCACGUUUCACAGCUACCACCUUUCCUUAACACCUAGCACAGGAACUGCCCCACAGCAUGCAAAUAUAGGUGGGCAGAUGGACAGACAGACCAAUCAGGUAGAUAUGUCAGAGAGAGAGAGGGGAAAAGAUGGCUGGCUGGCUGGAUGGGUAGAGAUACAAAGUUGAUGGAAAUGUUAUUCUGUGAUGUUUUAAAAUUGACGCUUUUUCAAAGAGAUGACGAGAAGGUGGAAGGGAACCUAUUAGAGAAGAGGAGGGGAUCAAAGGAUGAUAGGAAAGAGGAAAGAGACUAAUAGCAGGAUGAUCAAAGUAUGUUAUUUGCAUAUACAACUAUACCAAAAUGAAACCCACUAUUGUGUAAAACUAACAUACAAUAACAAAUAAAAUGAAAAAAAGAAAAACAAAUCCAUACUUGUAAAAAAUUUUUUAUUAGGCUUUUUCCAUUUGGAUUUUUUAGUUUGUUAUUUUAAAUUAUGCAACAUGAUUGUACAUUCAUCCUUCCAUUCACUGUCCCUCCCACAGCUAAUGGGAAAAAUAAGGGGUUCACUCCUGCCACCGCUGGACAAUUAGUUCUACCAACGAUCCUAACGUGCUUGGAACUGGAUCCUUCCCCAGAUUCCCAAAAGGGAACCGAGCCCUGCUGACUCCCAGUGUGAGCCUCGGGAGGCCCUGAGGGGCCUGUCUCCAACUAGGAAGCCCGGGGUUAUUUGUUACACACUGAUGGGAAACUAAUCCGCUGGCUGCCACCUUCUCUCCAGUUGUCCACAGUCAGUGUUUGUAUGAUAAUGGAUGUAUGGACAUUAUUCCCGGGUGGCCGUUUAGUCCAUUAAAAUUAUAUUUCUACCUUAAGCAGUGUUGUCCAUAAUUGUCUCAUUUUCUCCUUCCUUGGUGUUCUAUGUAUUUAUAACCAGUUCUUUUUCUAAUUGUCAGGGUUUUGUUUUUUGUUUUUUGUCUUUUGUUUUUUGUCUUUUGUUUUUUUUCAGAAAACCAUGAGAGAUCUUUACUCUGGAUCCUUGUAGCCUGUUCAGUGUGGCCUGGUUCAUUUCUAUCUCUCAGCAGAGCUGAUUUUGUAUUGAAUCUCCUGUACAGUUUUUCUGGAAUUCUCUGGCUCACACACUUGCUGCAGUCCUUAUUUGCUUUCUUGGGUUACUCUUUUGUUUCAGGAGAACAUCACUCCCGAUAGCUUCCUGUGAGUAGGACCACUAGAAAUAAUCUUCCUUCCUCUCUUUCUCCCUUUCUUUCUAAUGUGGGAAGAACACUUAAAGAUGAGAUCUACCUUUUCAAUAAAUUUUUAAGUGUAGAAUAUAGCAUUGUUGACUGUGGACACAUCAUACAUUAGAUCUCUGGAACUUAAACCUCUUUAAAAACUGACUCUGUGCAUACCCACUGAACAGCAGCUCCUCAUUCCUGCCUCCCCCUGCCCUGGUAAGCACCCUCACUCUGCGUCUGUGUGUUUGACUGUCUUACCUACCUCAUGCAUAUGGAACCUUGCCAUAUUUGUUCUGCGACUGGUUUAUUUCAUUUAGUACAAGGUCCUCAAAGUCAUCCAGGCUGAAGUAUAUGGCAGGACUUCCUCCUUUUAAGGCUGGAAAACAUCUCAUUGCAUGGAUAUACCACAGGGAAAUGUCAGUCAAACCCAUGAUAAGAUUCCUCCUCUCACCUUUGGGAACAGUGUCUUAGUUUCAGGCUGCUGUAAAAUGAAGGUCCACAGACUAGAUGGUGUACAAACAGCAGGGAGGCAUUUCUCAUUGCUCAGGAGGCUGAGGAGUCCAAGAUUAAAGUGCUGACAGAACCAGUGUUUGGUGAGGAUUUAGAGCUUAACACAUAAAUUUGGGGGAAACAAAGACAUUCAUUCCAUAACAGGUGGCUAUUAUC